UCUGCCUGGUCCAACCCACCUGCCUCCACUCCUGCCUCCACCAUGUCCAUCAGGGUGACCCAGAAGUCCUACCAGGUGUCCACCUCUGGCCCCCAGGCCUUCAGCAGCUGCUUCUACACGAGUGGGCCUGGUGCCUGCAUCAGCUCCUCAAGCCUCUCCCGAGUGGGCAGCAGCAGCUUCUGGGGUGGCCUGGGGGGAGGCUAUGGUGGGGCCAGUGGCAUAGGAGGCAUCACCGCUGUCACGUUCAACCAGAGCCUGCUGAGCCCUGUUAACCUGAAGGUGGACCUCAAUAUCCAGGCCAUGCACACCUAGGAGAAGGAGCAGAUCAAGACCCUCAACAAGUUUGCCUCCUUCAUCGACAAGAUACAAUUCCCGGAACAGCAGAACAAGAUGCUGGGGACCAAGUGGAGCCUCCUGCAGCAGCAGAAGACAGCUGGGAUCAACAUGGACAACAUGUUUGAGAGCUACAUCAACAACCUUAGGCGGCACCUGGAGACUCUGAGUCAGGAGAAGCUGAAGCUGGAGACGGAGCUUGGCAAUAUGCAGGGGCUGGUGGAGGACUUCAAGAACAAGUAUGAGGAUGAGAUCAAUAAGCAUACAGAGAUGGAGAAUGAAUUUGUCCUCAUCAAGAAGGAUGUGGAUGAAGCUUACAUGAACAAGGUAGAGUUGGAGUCUCGCCUGGAAGGGCUGACUGAUGAGAUCAGCUUCCUCAGGCAGCUGUUUGAAGAGGAGAUCCAGGAGCUGCAGUCCCAGAUCUCAGACACGUCUGUGGUGCUGUCCAUGGACAACAGCCACUCCCUGGACAUGGACAGCGUCAUCGCUGAGGUAAAGGCGCAGUACAAGGAGACUGCCCACCACAGCCAGGCUGAGGCUGACAGCAUGUACCAGAUCAAGAAUGCGGAGCUGCAGACGCUGGCUGGGAAGCACGGAGAUGACCAGCGGUGUACAAAGACUGACAUCUCUGAGAUGAACCGGAACAUCAGCUGGCUCCAGGCUGAGAUUGAGGGCCUCAAAGGCCAGAGGGCUUCCCUGGAGGUCACCAUCACAGAUGCCGAGCAGCGUGGGGAGCUGGCCGUUAAGGAUGGCAACGCCAAGCUGUCCGAGCUGGAGGCCGCCCUGCAGCGGGCCAAGCAGGACAUGGCAUGGCAGCUGCGUGAGUACCAGGAGCUGAUGAACGUCAAGCUGGCCCUGGACAUCGAGAUCGCCACCUAUAGGAAGCUGCUGGAGGGUGAGGAGAGCCGGCUGGAGUCUGGGAUGCAGAACAUAAGUAUCCAUAUGAAGACCACCAGUGGCUAUGCAAGUGGUCUGAGCUUGGCCUAUGGGGGCCUCACAAGUCCUGGCCUCAGUUAUGGCCUAGGCUCCAGCUCUGGCUCUGUCGCGAGCUCCAGCUCCUUCAGCUGCAUCAGCUCCACCAGCUCCACCAGGGCCAUGGUUGUGAAGGAGAUCGAGGCCCAUGAUGGGAAGCUGGUGUCCAAGUCCUCUGACGUCCUGCCCAAGUGAAGAGCUGCCGCAGCCCCUCCCAGCCUGCCCCUAUUGUGGCUUCCCCAGAGCCUGGGAGGGAGGCUGCUGUGCAGGGGAGCACAGGGAACAGGAGACCCACCUGAGGCUCAGCCCCAGCUCUCAGCCCACCCGCAGGGGAGUUUACCACUUGGGGACCCCUCUUG